rnacentral:rRNA from 1 species
CCUACGGGAGGCAGCAGUGAGGAAUAUUGGUCAAUGGACGCAAGUCUGAACCAGCCAAGUAGCGUGAAGGAUGACGGCCCUCCGGGUUGUAAACUGCUUUUAGUUGGGAAUAAAAGGGGGCUCGUGUGCCCCGUAUUUUAUGUACCAUCAGAAAAAGGACCGGCUAAUUCCGUGCCAGCAGCAGCGGUACUACGGAAGGUCCGGGCGUGAUCCGGAUUUUUUGGGUGUAAAGGGAGCGUAGGCCGGCUUUUAAGUCAGUUGUGAAAGUGCGGGGCUCAACCGUGGAAUUGCAGUUGAAACUGGAUGCCUUGAGUGCACGAAGGGAUGCCGGAAUUCAUGGUGUAGCGGUGAAAUGCUUAGAUAUCAUGAAGAACUCCGAUCGCGAAGGCAAGUGUCCGGGGUGCAACUGACGCUGAGGCUCGAAAGUGCGGGUAUCAAACAGGAUUAGAUACCCUUGUAGUC